GGUUAGUGAAUUUUCUCAACCAUGUCUUAUGUCUUCUUUUUGGAAUUUUCAAAGGAUUCUUAUACGUCUUUUUCAAGCACUAAAUGACAUCUAUGAGGACUCACUUGAUUAAUUGAGCCCAACCAUAUCAAGUACAAUAUUGUUCCAUGUCCUAUAUUUGGGUACUGCAAUUACUCUUUACAUUUUGGAGCAUACCUCGCAUCUGACAAAUGACAAUCAACAUUAAUUUUAAAAGGGUAUC
rnacentral:lncRNA from 1 species